rnacentral:rRNA from 1 species
UACAGAGGGUGCGAGCGUUAAUCGGAAUUACUGGGCGUAAAGCGUGCGCAGGCGGUAAUGUAAGACAGAUGUGAAAUCCCCGGGCUCAACCUGGGAACUGCAUUUGUGACUGCAUUGCUGGAGUGCGGCAGAGGGGGAUGGAAUUCCGCGUGUAGCAGUGAAAUGCGUAGAUAUGCGGAGGAACACCGAUGGCGAAGGCAAUCCCCUGGGCCUGCACUGACGCUCAUGCACGAAAGCUAGGGGAGCGAACAGG